UACGAAGGGGCUAGCGUUGCUCGGAAUCACUGGGCGUAAAGCGCACGUAGGCGGCUUUUUAAGUCAGGGUGAAAUCCUGGAGCUCAACUCCAGAACUGCCUUUGAUACUGAGAAGCUUGAGUCCGGGAGAGGUGAGUGGAACUGCGAGUGUAGAGGUGAAAUUCGUAAAUAUUCGCAAGAACACCAGUGGCGAAGGCGGCUCACUGGCCGGUACUGACGCUGAGAUGCGAAAGCGUGGGAGCAACAGG
rnacentral:rRNA from 1 species